GCCGGUUUGGCUCAGCGGAUAGAGCGUUAGCCUGCAGACUGAAGGGUCCCGGGUUCAAUUCCUGCAAAGGGCA
rfam:Myotis brandtii contig312734, whole genome shotgun sequence.